CAGAUAAAUCUUCUUUUCUGGACCGGCUUUGAUGUGGCGGAAUACAAGGGCUAUACGACAGUCAACCAUGUCAUCGUGUACCAGACAAUCAAAUUAAUGUAUGAUGGGGCUAAAGAGCUUGCCCAAGGGGAAUCUGACUACUCAAAAUAUGCUAUUUUACCUGAUAAUCAGUGUUCUUCUGAUAGCUAAGAAAUAAGUUAAGAGAGGCGGAACCCGACCCUGAUGACAGCCAAAAUCAGGCCCCACUCCUCUCUCUCUCUCUCUGGCACCUACUCUUCAGAUGGCCAACAACACUUUGCCAGCAACGGCUGCUGUCCAGUUAAGAGCAAGUAUGUUUUGUUGCUGAAGCAUUAUUUGGAUUAUAGUUACUUCUCUGUUUCUGUGAAUAACUACACAUGUGUUCUUCUACUUUUCAUACUGUCAAAUUCUUAUCUUUGUACAUGGAUCCAUUAAGAACAUUAAAUAGACCACCCAGUUCAUGUAGAAUAUUGUCUAAUGCCUUCAAUUAUGCCAUGAUGUAUUCAUACAAGGUGAUGUUAUAACCAUAUCUAGAGAAGAUCACAGACAAGUUUCUUCAGCACUAUUGUGUUCACUAUGCUCUCCACUGGCAUGUCAGCAUUAUACAGUGUCCUUGUGAUAACUGAGAAAUAUAUUGUGGCUGAUGUCAUGGCAAGGCUACUACAAUCCUGACUUUGUCAAGUAUUAAGUAUUAUUGAGAUUAUGAAGUUUGUUUAUUUACAGUGUGUUGCUCUCCUAUCUUCAGGAGAUUGGAGAAAAACUAUCAAAAAUAAGUGUCAGGUUUGAUUACCCACCCCUUAACAAAGAAGUCAUACAGGGUGUAUGAAAUCUAUGGGAAGAUCCAUCCAUCUAGGUGAAAAGAAGUUCAUAUUUCUGUAAAUGUGUAUACUGUCAAGCAACCAGUUUUAUUAUAAAGAAAUGCAUCUGUAAGAAACUUACUUGUGUGGAAGUGUGUUGCAAGUUCAUCCCCAUCCCCCGUCGGACCCAAUGUUGUAAGUUAGAAUAGUGGGUCUGCGGUUCUUGUUGCUGUUCUGCCGGCCCGCCGCCUCGUGUGCUGCCUUUCUUCCUGCCAAGGUUCUGCCUUCCUUCUCUGACUUUCCAUUGUUUUGCUCAUUUCAUAUACACCAUUUUACUCGCUCUACCUGUGUGUUCUGUGCGUCGUGUUCUGUUUACAUUAUUAUUUUCUUCUCAUGCUUGCUCUCCUUCAAGCUUAUUUUGUGCCAGGAUUCUGGAAACGACCAAGGACAAGCAACUCAAGCGAAAGAUUGCUUCACUUAAUCUGGCGCUGUUAUUCUUCUGAAACAUGCUAAAGAAAGAUGAGAAGGAUCGGCAAAAAAGUUUGAGCCUCCUCUUAGAAGGUUCAAAACGGGACGCGGGCAAGAUAGCUCUAGGAAAGUUGGUGCGGACGGCUCCGAAGUGGAGCCUAGAAGUGGCGAAUUUUCUUAAUACCGCUACAUUAAUCACCUGAAAUUGGCAAUAGUGACAACCUAGAGGAAGAUGAUACCACCGAAAGUGAUGUGCCGGUGGAUGAUAUGGACGAAUACAACUAGAAUAUUGCCAAGCCUAUUAUUGCAUCAAGGGCAAGACUUAUUACCGAUGCUCAGCGCAAAGUCGAAUAUAUGCUCAAGGAAAUAUGGGUGCCUCCUCCAACGCUACCCAUAUCCAUUUGUCAAUGAUGACUCUGCUUGAUGUCGCCGCAUACCAGCAGAAGAUAAAGCUCAACCAUAGAUUGGAAGACCGGGGCUAUAUAGAUUGAUGUCUAAAACCAAUGCAGAUCACCCUGCUGAAGAAGGAGAGGAAGUUAGAAAUCAGUUUCAGUUUUACAGGUGCAAAAUCAACUCAUUCCACUGUAAUACUGGACAUCCAGAUGUCCAGGAUGGUUAUUGUACAUGGAGAAUCAGGAUGGAUUAGAAUGGAUUAUUUAUUACCUUGGUGACAACGUCGGGUGGGCGCUGAAUCGUGGACAUGUCCCCUAUGAAUCCAGGCGGCUGGGUGAACAGAUGGACCAAGCUCCCUCCUCCGCCCAAGAAGCUACCGGGGAAAGCAGCACCGACGGCCGGAACCUCCUCCGCCCAAGAAGCAGCCGGGGAAAGCAGCACCGACGGCCAGAACCUCCUCCACCCAAGAAGCAGCCGGGGAAAGCAGCACCGAUGGCCGGAACCUCCUCGCCCAAGACGGCCAGAACAACACUACGGCGGAUCCAAAUCGCCAGUCUCCUCUGUCCAGAGCUGAACUGAGUGGCUACCCCCAUGAGAGGACACGCGCACAGCCAAACCCACACACACCAGACACGCGUGGCAUGGUGGCUUAUCCGGUGGGAGACUACCACUUGCUCACGCUGAACCAUUGUGGCCCACAGCCCCCCGUGAACGUUGUAUCCCACUGCCACUUGCACCUGUAUACGUUGUGGCCCACCGGGAAAAUGCAUAUAUGAGCGCUCGUAGGUGCUAGCCAUCUAUUCCAAGGGGAGAAAAAAAAUCUACUCCCAAGGAGUAUUUAUUUUCUUUUUAAAGGAUCUAUUAUUCUCAGGUACUCCUUCCGUCUCAUAAUAUAAAAUACUUUUUGACACUACAUCAGUGUUAAAAAAUGUCU